rnacentral:rRNA from 1 species
UGGAUCCAGACUUUGAUCCUGGCUCAGGACGAACGCUGGCGGCGUGCUUAACACAUGCAAGUCGAACGAAGAGCGAUGGAAGCUUGCUUCUAUCAAUCUUAGUGGCGAACGGGUGAGUAACGCGUAAUCAACCUGCCCUUCAGAGGGGGACAACAGUUGGAAACGACUGCUAAUACCGCAUACGAUCUAAUCUCGGCAUCGAGGAUAGAUGAAAGGUGGCCUCUACAUGUAAGCUAUCACUGAAGGAGGGGAUUGCGUCUGAUUAGCUAGUUGGAGGGGUAACGGCCCACCAAGGCGAUGAUCAGUAGCCGGUCUGAGAGGAUGAACGGCCACAUUGGGACUGAGACACGGCCCUGACUCCUACGGGAGGCAGCAGUGGGGAAUCUUCCGCAAUGGACGAAAGUCUGACGGAGCAACGCCGCGUGAGUGAUGACGGCCUUCGGGUUGUAAAGCUCUGUUAAUCGGGACGAAAGGCCUUCUUGCGAAUAGUGAGAAGGAUUGACGGUACCGGAAUAGAAAGCCACGGCUAACUACGUGCCAGCAGCCGCGGUAAUACGUAGGUGGCAAGCGUUGUCCGGAAUUAUUGGGCGUAAAGCGCGCGCAGGCGGAUCAGUCAGUCUGUCUUAAAAGUUCGGGGCUUAACCCCGUGAUGGGAUGGAAACUGCUGAUCUAGAGUAUCGGAGAGGAAAGUGGAAUUCCUAGUGUAGCGGUGAAAUGCGUAGAUAUUAGGAAGAACACCAGUGGCGAAGGCGACUUUCUGGACGAAAACUGACGCUGAGGCGCGAAAGCCAGGGGAGCGAACGGGAUUAGAUACCCCGGUAGUCCUGGCCGUAAACGAUGGGUACUAGGUGUAGGAGGUAUCGACCCCUUCUGUGCCGGAGUUAACGCAAUAAGUACCCCGCCUGGGGAGUACGACCGCAAGGUUGCAACUCAAAUGAAUUGACGGA